rnacentral:ncRNA from 1 species
ACCAAGGAGUCUAACAUAUGUGCGAGUAUGCGGGCGGCAACCCUGUAUGCACAAUGAAAGUGAGAGUAGGNCCCUGUAUGCACAAUGAAAGUGAGAGUAGGGAGAGUUUUGCUUUUUGCUUUUCUCGCACCUACGACCGACAACGAACUCUGUGAGAGGUUUGAGUUGUAGCACAUGUGUUAGGACCCGAAAAAUGGUGAACUAUGCCUGAGUACGGUGAAGUCAGGCGAAAGCCUGAUGGAGGCUCGUAGCGAUACUGACGUGCAAAUUGUUCGUCAAACUUGGGUAUAGGGGCGAAACAGUAAUCGAGCCGUCUAGUAGCUGGUUUCUUCCGAAGUUUCUCUCAGAAUAGCUGGAGUUCUAUUAGUUUUAUCAGAUAAAGCGAAUGAUUAGAGGCCUCGGGGGCGCGUUGCCCUCGACCUAUUCUCAAAUUUUAAAUGGGUAAGAUCAAGUUGUUACUUCAUUGAACUGCUGGGGUUAAUAUGAACUCCAAGUGGGCCAUUUUUGGUAAGCAGAACUGGCAAUGAGGGAUGCUCCUAACGCUGGGCUAAGGUGCCUAAAUACUCGCUCAUCAGACGCCAUAAAAGGUGUCGGUUCAUUUUGACAGCAGGACGGUGGUCAUGGAAGUCGAAAUCCGCGAAGAAGUGUGUAACAACUUACCUGCCGAAUGAACCAGCCCUGAAAAUGGAUGGCGCUGCAGCGGAUUACCGAUACCAGGCCAUUAUCGCAAGUCUUUGUACACUGGACUUUUUGCGGUCAUGAGUAGGAAGACGUGGGGAUCGUAGCGAAGCAUUCGGCGUGAGCCUGUGUGGAACGGUCUCUAGCUUUUUGCCUGGU